UGAGGAAUAUUGGUCAAUGGACGCAAGUCUGAACCAGCCAAGUAGCGUGCAGGAUGACGGCCCUAUGGGUUGUAAACUGCUUUUAUAUGGGGAUAAAGUGGGGAACGUGUUCCCUUUUGCAGGUACCAUAUGAAUAAGGACCGGCUAAUUCCGUGCCAGCAGCCGCGGUAAUACGGAAGGUUCGGGCGUUAUCCGGAUUUAUUGGGUUUAAAGGGAGCGUAGGCCGUUUGGUAAGCGUGUUGUGAAAUGUAGGAGCUCAACUUCUAGAUUGCAGCGCGAACUGUCAGACGUGAGUGCGCACAACGUAGGCGGAAUUCAUGGUGUAGCGGUGAAAUGCUUAGAUAUCAUGAAGAACUCCGAUUGCGAAGGCAGCUUACGGGAGCGCAACAGACGCUGAAGCUCGAAGGUGCGGGUAUCGAACAGG
rnacentral:rRNA from 1 species